rnacentral:rRNA from 1 species
AUUGAACGCUGGCGGCAUGCCUUACACAUGCAAGUCGAACGGCAGCACGGGAGCAAUCCUGGUGGCGAGUGGCGAACGGGUGAGUAAAGUAUCGGAACGUGCCCAGUCGUGGGGGAUAACGUAGCGAAAGUUACGCUAAUACCGCAUACGAUCUAUGGAUGAAAGCGGGGGAUCGCAAGACCUCGCGCGAUUGGAGCGGCCGAUAUCAGAUUAGGUAGUUGGUGGGGUAAAGGCCGACCAAGCCGACGAUCUGUAGCUGGUCUGAGAGGACGACCCGCAACACUGGGACGGAGACACGGCCCAGUCUCCUACUGGAGGCAGCAUUGGGGAAUUUUGGACGAUGGGCGAAAGCCUGAUCCAGCCAUGCCGCGUGCAGGAUGAAGGCCUUCGGGUUGUAAACUGCUUUUGUACGGAACGAAAAGGACUGCCCUAACACGUUGGUCCCAUGACGGUACCGUAAGAAUAAGCACCGGCUAACUACGUGCCAGCCGCCGCAGUAAUAC